CGGCAGCAUAGGAGCUUGCUCCUGAUGGCGAGUGGCGAACGGGUGAGUAAUAUAUCGGAACGUGCCCUAGAGUGGGGGAUAACUAGUCGAAAGACUAGCUAAUACCGCAUACGAUCUACGGAUGAAAGUGGGGGAUCGCAAGACCUCAUGCUCCUGGAGCGGCCGAUAUCUGAUUAGCUAGUUGGUGGGGUAAAAGCUCACCAAGGCGACGAUCAGUAGCUGGUCUGAGAGGACGACCAGCCACACUGGGACUGAGACACGGCCCAGACUCCUACGGGAGGCAGCAGUGGGGAAUUUUGGACAAUGGGGGCAACCCUGAUCCAGCAAUGCCGCGUGAGUGAAGAAGGCCUUCGGGUUGUAAAGCUCUUUUGUCAGGGAAGAAACGGUUCUGGAUAAUACCUGGGACUAAUGACGGUACCUGAAGAAUAAGCACCGGCUAACUACGUGCCAGCAGCCGCGGUAAUACGUAGGGUGCAAGCGUUAAUCGGAAUUACUGGGCGUAAAGCGUGCGCAGGCGGUUGUGUAAGUCAGAUGUGAAAUCCCCGGGCUCA
rnacentral:rRNA from 1 species